UACGUAGGGUGCAAGCGUUGUCCGGAAUUAUUGGGCGUAAAGAGCUCGUAGGCGGUUUGUCGCGUCUGCUGUGAAAACUCGGGGCUUAACCCCGGGCCUGCAGUGGGUACGGGCAGACUAGAGUGCGGUAGGGGAGACUGGAAUUCCUGGUGUAGCGGUGAAAUGCGCAGAUAUCAGGAGGAACACCGGUGGCGAAGGCGGGUCUCUGGGCCGUAACUGACGCUGAAGAGCGAAAGCGUGGGGAGCGAACAGG
rnacentral:rRNA from 1 species